rnacentral:rRNA from 1 species
UACGAAGGGGCUGAGCGUUGCUCGGAAUCACUGGGCGUAAAGGGUGCGUAGGCGGGUCUUUUAAGUCAGGGGUGAAAUCCUGGAGCUCAACUCCAGAACUGCCUUUGAUACUGAAGAUCUUGAGUUCGGGAGAGGUGAGUGGAACUGCGAGUGUAGAGGUGAAAUUCGUAGAUAUUAGGAAGAACACCAGUGGCGAAGGCGGCUCACUGGCCC